rnacentral:rRNA from 1 species
GACGAACGCUGGCGGCGUGCUUAACACAUGCAAGUCGAACGGAAAGGCCUCUUUCGGGGGGUACUCGAGUGGCGAACGGGUGAGUAACACGUGAGUAACCUGCCCUUGACUUUGGGAUAACUUCAGGAAACUGGGGCUAAUACCGGAUAGGAGCUCCUGCUGCAUGGUGGGGGUUGGAAAGUUUCGGCGGUUGGGGAUGGACUCGCGGCUUAUCAGCUUGUUGGUGGGGUAGUGGCUUACCAAGGCUUUGACGGGUAGCCGGCCUGUGAGGGUGACCGGCCACAUUGGGACUGAGAUACGGCCCAGACUCCUACGGGAGGCAGCAGUGGGGAAGAUUGCACAAGGGGUGGAAGCCGGAUGCAGCAACGCCGUGGGCGGGAGGACGGCCUUCGGGUUGUAAACCGCUUUCGCUCAUGACGAAGCUUUGUGUGACGGUAGUGGGUAAAGAAGCACCGGCUAACUACGUG